CACUGAAAUAAAGGUCAUGUCCUAAUGUUAUGCCUUCCUGUUUAAAAUUAAUGGCUUGUAAAUGUUUAUCUCAGCUAGAAGUGAGAACAUGGUCUACGUCUGUGCUCUCCAAUUCCCUCUUGGAGAAGCCAUGCAGUGAAACAGCUGCAUAUCCCUUCACAUCCUUCUCUUGCUGUUAAACAUGUACAUCUCUGGCUUCAGCUCUUUGCCAGGUUUCCCCCUGCUCAUGUUUGGAUUCCAUGCUAAAGCUUGAAGUAGUGUUGUCUGGAUUUAUAGUGGGUUACAUUGUUUUCUCCAGGAAAGAGCAAGUGAAAGGGACCAGCCCAGCACAAAAGGACUGACGAUCCAUGCGCAGCGUCACACAGUAGAGUUUCUUCAGUUGUGCCAAUAGGCUGCCCCUUAAAAGAAAAAGCAGUAAUCUGGCAAAAUGAACUCAGAACACACAAAGAGGAGCCACUGGAGACUAAUCUGCAAGGUAUUCAGAUUCUGCUACCAAACUGCUUCUGGGACUUCAUGCAGUUUGCUUCAUCUGAGAGAACCUCAGCAGUGCGCAUGGAGUCAGAAUUCCCUCCAGGAAGGGCUGGAACAUCUGAGCAUAGCGGUGGGGCUCAUCCUGCAGCAGGAGGACUGUCCAGCUGCUCAGACUGGCACCUGUCCUCAGCCCAGUCCAAACCCAAAUGCCUAAGGAAGUGUGUAAGGACAAGGAAAUUGUAGAUCAUAUUUCAGCUAAGUGAUAUCUUGGUGCUCUCCCACCCCCAAGAAACAUGCAGCCAGGCAUAGUUUAUUUCUCAUUAGCAACUAAAGCGGAUUUCUGUUCUGUAAACUUGCCCGACCUCCUCUGAGCCUUACGGCCUCCCUCACAGGGAGUCCUACAGCAUGACACACCUGUUGUGAAGAGUCACUUUGUUUUUGUUUGUUUUGAAACUACCUCAUGCUAGUUGGAGAUGAAAGGAUGCCUUCUAGAAUCUGACAGUAAAACUAGAAAAGGUUUUUUAAGAUUGUAUUUUUGAAAUGUAAUUUGUGUUUAGGCGUUAGGUUAGUAUGGUGGAUAUAGCACAGUUAAGUAAUCCAGGACCGGGUUGCCUUGUGGGUAAAACAACUAAUCUAAAGGGUCUGUACUUCCAGGGAAGUCAAGUCUUAGCAGCCAUAUCAGUUUUAAGCAUGGGCAUAUUUGCUGGUAGCAGAAAAAUUCCUGAUUGGUUCCAGUUAAUGAAUCAUUUGAGCAUGCAUUUAACUCCUCUGUGCAUUUCAGACUGAGUUGUGCUGGGGUACUGAGUCUGGGUGUUACUCUGAAGGUACCUCUCUGUUUGUAACACGGUGGGAUUUUUUUUGUUUGCUGGAUAAAUACCAUAUGCUUUUGACUUUGCUAUCCUGUGUUGGAUAGUGUUGGUUUUGUGCAGAGACCUGAUUCUAACUGGGAGGUUAUUGAGAUCAAUGUGUUCUGGGAUGUUUCUGCUUCCCAAUGAUAAGAGGGAUGAAUGGUAGAGAGAAGUAAUGGGAAGAGAGAGGUAAAUGUGCAUGAAGAGCCCUGAAAUCUAAAGAAGAUAGGAAGAACAUGCAUCACCAAUCAGUCUGUUGCAUAUUGAGACACAAGAUCUCCUUGGGAUGGGGUAAUAAAUACUUUGGUAACUUCA
ensembl:lncRNA